CGCAUACACUAGGGGUGCUGUUAUCAGCUGAGAUGGAAUUUUUCCAAUCCCUUUGAACCUGUGAAGUUAGAACUUGCGAAGGAAAGUGUAGCCGUCAGAAA
rfam:Lactobacillus mellis strain Hon2 genomic scaffold Hon2_scaffold1, whole genome shotgun sequence.